rnacentral:rRNA from 1 species
GACGAACGCUGGCGGCGUGGAUUAGGCAUGCAAGUCGAGGGAGAACCCGCAAGGGGGAAACCGGCGAACGGGGUAGGAUCACGUCGGUACGUACCCUCGGGACGGGGAUAGCCACGGGAAACUGUGGGUAAUACCCGAUGAUCUGGCGAAAGCCAGCAAAGGUGAGAUUCCGCCCGGGGAGCGGCUGACGCGCUACUAGCUUGUUGGUGAGGUAACGGCUCACCAAGGCGACGAUGGCUAGGGGGUGUGAGAGCAUGGCCCCCACCACUGGGACUGAGAUACUGCCCAGACACCUACGGGUGGCUGCAGUCGAGAAUCUUCGGCAAUGGGCGCAAGCCUGACCGAGCGACGCCGCGUGCGGGAUGAAGGUCUUCGGAUUGUAAACCGCUGUCGGGAGGGAUGAAGUGCGUGGGGGUUCUCCCCCGUGUUUGACAGAGCUCCGGAGGAAGCACGGGCUAAGUUCGUGCCAGCAGCCGCAGUAAUAC